rnacentral:rRNA from 1 species
GAGCGAAUGGAUUAAGAGCUUGCUCUUAUGAAGUUAGCGGGCGGACGGGUGAGUAACACGUGGGUAACCUGCCCAUAAGACUGGGAUAACUCCGGGAAACCGGGGCUAAUACCGGAUAACAUUUUGCACCGCAUGGUGCGAAAUUCAAAGGCGGCUUCGGCUGUCACUUAUGGAUGGACCCGCGUCGCAUUAGCUAGUUGGUGAGGUAACGGCUCACCAAGGCAACGAUGCGUAGCCGACCUGAGAGGGUGAUCGGCCACACUGGGACUGAGACACGGCCCAGACUCCUACGGGAGGCAGCAGUAGGGAAUCUUCCGCAAUGGACGAAAGUCUGACGGAGCAACGCCGCGUGAGUGAUGAAGGCUUUCGGGUCGUAAAACUCUGUUGUUAGGGAAGAACAAGUGCUAGUUGAAUAAGCUGGCACCUUGACGGUACCUAACCAGAAAGCCACGGCUAACUACGUGCCAGCAGCCGCGGUAAUACGUAGGUGGCAAGCGUUAUCCGGAAUUAUUGGGCGUAAAGCGCGCGCAG